GCCUCAGUAACGGCGAGUGAAGCGGCAACAGCUCAAAUUUGAAAUCUGGCCUUCUGGUCCGAGUUGUAAUUUGUAGAGGAUGCUUUUGGUGCGGUGCCUUCCGAGUUCCCUGGAACGGGACGCCUUAGAGGGUGAGAGCCCCGUACGGUUGGACGCCUAGCCUCUGUAAAGCUCCUUCGACGAGUCGAGUAGUUUGGGAAUGCUGCUCAAAAUGGGAGGUAAAUUUCUUCUAAAGCUAAAUACCGGCCAGAGACCGAUAGCGCACAAGUAGAGUGAUCGAAAGAUGAAAAGCACUUUGAAAAGAGGGUUAAAUAGUACGUGAAAUUGUUGAAAGGGAAGCGCUUAUGACCAGACUUUUUCCUAGAGGAUCAUCCGGUGUUCUCACCGGUGCACUUCUCUAGGUUGAGGCCAGCAUCGGUUUCCGUAGGGGGAUAAAAACUUAGGGAAUGUGGCUCUUUCGGGAGUGUUAUAGCCCUUUGUAUAAUACCCUUCUGGGGACCGAGGUUCGCGCUUUGCAAGGAUGCUGGCGUAAUGGUCAUCAGUGACCCGUCUUGAAACACGGACCAAGGAGUCGAACAUUUGUGCGAGUGUUUGGGUGUAAAACCCGCACGCGUAAUGAAAGUGAACGCUGGUGAGAGCUUCGGCGCAUCAUCGACCGAUCCUGAUGUAUUCGGAUGGAUUUGAGUAAGAGCGUAAAGCUUCGGACCCGAAAGAUGGUGAACUAUGCGUGGAUAGGGUGAAGCCAGAGGAAACUCUGGUGGAGGCUCGCAGCGGUUCUGACGUGCAAAUCGAUCGUCAAAUCUGAGCAUGGGGGCGAAAG
rnacentral:rRNA from 1 species